rnacentral:rRNA from 1 species
GCAGUAGCCGCGGUAAAACAGAGGGUGCGAGCGUUAAUCGGAUUUACUGGGCGUAAAGCGUGCGUAGGCGGCUUCUUAAGUCGGAUGUGAAAUCCCUGAGCUUAACUUAGGAAUUGCAUUCGAUACUGGGAAGCUAGAGUAUGGGAGAGGAUGGUAGAAUUCCAGGUGUAGCGGUGAAAUGCGUAGAGAUCUGGAGGAAUACCGAUGGCGAAGGCAGCCAUCUGGCCUAAUACUGACGCUGAGGUACGAAAGCAUGGGGAGCAAACAGGAUUAGAUACCCCAGUAGUCCCUGUCUCUUAUAC